AGGGGGUUCUGAAGUAGAGCAAAUCCAUUACCCAUCGCCCUCCUGUUAUUUCCAAACCCCACACCAGCUUGUGGGUGGGCCACAUGCUUGUAUCAGUAACCUCCUCAGAGGCUAUUGUCCCCUCGUUGACACCUUGGGGGAGUGAGUUAUGUGACUUGCCUGGCUCUCAGGGCUGCCUGCCUGUGGCGGUGGGUUCUAUUUCUAGGCCUUUAUGCCCAUGAGUCUCCUUGAGGUGGAGAAUUGAGUUACCCGAGCCUCAUCCUUAUGCAUGACAUCUGGGAGCCCUCCGCUCUCAACCUCAAGGGUGGGCAACUGUCGCUUAUUAUGUUACUUGGUGACAUUGGGGCCGCCCCAGCUGUGUUAAGCCCCACCAUGACAGAGAGGGACAACCUCUGAAAUGAGAUUAGCUCAGAGCACAUUGCCCUGGUACAGAAUUUCACAGCACUUCCAGGCUGUGCCUGUGGCUGCUGCUCAGAAUGGGUGAGAGAGGGUAGAGGCAGCUGUCUAGAAACAGGGAGCCUGGCAAUGAUGCCAAAUAGAUAGCCCUGGGGAACACUCCAGCUCUGGACAGCAGGGAUUUCUGUGUUAAGAUCUUGAGCGGAACAGGAGACAUCCAAACUGGGUCACAGGGAGACAGGCUUGUGGGGUUAGGCAGCUUUCCUAUAGGACCAUGGGUGUCUUCCAGGGUCAAAGCCUGCUUAAGCUCUGUCCUUGGGCCACCAGGCCUUCCAAGAGGGCAGCCGAGGGGCUCCCUGAACCCUUUCUCUCCUUUCCUUUGUCAGACCUGGCUGAGAAGCUACAUUAAGCUGUUCCAGGCCCCGUGCCAGCGCUGUGGGAAGUUUCUACAAGAUGGCCUUCCCCCGACGUGGAGAGACUUCCGAACCCUGGAAGCUUUCCAUGACACCUGCCGACAGUGACAGUGACCCCGGCCCCAGCACAGGGCAGCCUGCAGACAGGCUGCCUUCCCAAACAGCCCGACCCAUUCACCACACAGGAGUCUACCACUGUUCUCCCUGGCAGAACUGUCAGCUGCAUGUCAUGAUGGGGCAUCACGGGAGGAUGGUCUGCCCCUUCCCUGUGUGCUGGCCCCUGGGUCUGCUGCUCCCAUGAGCUGUUAAUGGAAUGAACCUCUUCAUUCUUACAUUGGUUAUGCUUGGUUGGUUUUGUAACUUAUUUUUGUAAACAAUAAAGCUUUUGUACCC
rnacentral:lncRNA from 1 species